GUUUUUACGUGUUCUGGAAAUGAAACAAAUGAAGAUCGUCUGAAGUGUUUAUAACUGUGUCUUCAUUCGUUGGACUAUAUCUUCAGGAUGCUGCAGCUCUGAAAAGGAAACCUCCUUCUGUAACAAGUGGAAUCUCUCUCUGCAAAUUUUGCUGUUAACCUCAGUGUAGUGGACG